CCCUAAACGAUGUCUACUAGUUGUCGGGUUUUAAUUAACUUGGUAACGCAGCUAACGCGUGAAGUAGACCGCCUGGGGAGUACGGUCGCAAGAUUAAAACUCAAAGGAAUUGACGGGGACCCGCACAAGCGGUGGAUGAUGUGGAUUAAUUCGAUGCAACGCGAAAAACCUUACCUACCCUUGACAUGUACGGAAGGCCGGAGAGAUUUGGCUGUGCUCGAAAGAGAACCGUAACACAGGUGCUGCAUGGCUGUCGUCAGCUCGUGUCGUGAGAUGUUGGGUUAAGUCCCGCAACGAGCGCAACCCUUGUCAUUAGUUGCUACGAAAGGGCACUCUAAUGAGACUGCCGGUGACAAACCGGAGGAAGGUGGGGAUGACGUCAAGUCCUCAUGGCCCUUAUGGGUAGGGCUUCACACGUCAUACAAUGGUACAUACAGAGCGCCGCCAACCCGCGAGGGGGAGCUAAUCGCAGAAAGUGUAUCGUAGUCCGGAUUGUAGUCUGCAACUCGACUACAUGAAGUUGGAAUCGCUAGUAAUCGCGGAUCAGCAUGUCGCGGUGAAUACGUUCCCGGGUCUUGUACACACCGCCCGUCACACCAUGGGGGCGGGUUUUACCAGAAGUAGGUAGCUUAACCGCAAGGAAGCGCUUACCACGGUAGGAUUCGUGACUGGGGUGAAGUCGUAACAAGGUAGCCGUAUCGGAAGGUGC
rnacentral:rRNA from 1 species